GCCUACCAUGGUUUUAACGGGUAACGGGGAAUUAGGGUUCGAUUCCGGAGAGGGAGCCUGAGAAACGGCUACCACAUCCAAGGAAGGCAGCAGGCGCGCAAAUUACCCAAUCCCGACACGGGGAGGUAGUGACAAUAAAUAACAAUACGGGGCUCAUUUGGGUCUCGUAAUUGGAAUGAGUACAAUUUAAAUCUCUUAACGAGGAACAAUUGGAGGGCAAGUCUGGUGCCAGCAGCCGCGGUAAUUCCAGCUCCAAUAGCGUAUAUUAAAGUUGUUGCAGUUAAAAAGCUCGUAGUUGAACUUCGGGGUUCACCCAUUGGUCAGGCUUAAUUGUCUGCACUGGUGAGAUGGGUCUCUACCUUCUGAGGAACUUUCAUGCCAUUUAUUUGGUGUGAUUGGAAAUCAGGACUGUUACUUUGAAAAAAUUAGAGUGUUUAAAGCAGGCUAACGUCUGAAUACAUUAGCAUGGAAUAAUGAAAUAGGACGGACUGAUUCUAUUUCGUUGGUUUCUAGGAUCACCGUAAUGACUAAUAGGGAUAGUUGGGGGCAUUAGUAUUCAAUUGUCAGAGGUGAAAUUCAUGGAUUUAUUGAAGACUAACUACUGCGAAAGCAUUUGCCAAGGAUGUUUUCAUUAAUCAAGAACGAAAGUUAGGGGAUCGAAGACGAUCAGAUACCGUCGUAGUCUUAACCAUAAACUAUGCCGACUGGGGAUCGGACGAAGUUAAUUUUAUAAUGACGCGUUCGGCACCUUACG
rnacentral:rRNA from 1 species